rnacentral:lncRNA from 1 species
CCCAACCACAGUUUGGUUGUUUGGUUAAGGAUUUUAAAAGAUGACCCCUGGCAUAUGGUGAGCACUCAUGAUGACGACUGCUGUGGACCUGUUGUCUUGUCAGGACACCUGAGAGCUUCCUUUUGAAAAAGAAAAAUUAGAACUGAGGCAAUGAACACAGGCCUUUUCCCCAGCAUCAUCCAGGGAACCUGUGACCCACAGGGCCAGGGGUCCUAGGUCCAGAGACUGAGGGAGGUCAGGUACUCCCUGGGUCCCUUUCCCCUGGUAAAUGGUGGAGUUUCGCC